rnacentral:lncRNA from 1 species
GUGUCGCCCCUCUCCUCUCAUUAAAAGCACCACGAAGCGCGCGGAGCGUCGACACAAUUUAAGUCUCCCUGGCCCCCACCACUGCAAUAAAAGCAACUACUUCCUACGUCCGAGCUCGCGAACAGCUCGAACUCGGAAGUCGGGGGAGUGUUGGAGGAAAAUAAACCGCCCCAAAGUACGUAAGCAGGCCACCAGCACAUAGUCGGAGGUGCCCGACCUAGAAGGCGCCCGAUCUGGAGGGCGCCCGACCUGGAGGACGCCCGACCUGGAGGACGCCCGACUUGGAAAGCGCCCGAUCCCGAUCUCGGAAGGCAUCUGAUCCCGGAAGCCGGAUCUCGCCGACUGUCCGCUGCGGUCACAUCCUCCUACGGCCCGAUUUGGGACCACGCCUUGAGCGGCUUACUCAACAGUUAAUGCGCAUGGCCUCUGCAGACCUCCGGCUUACUUAACAAUUAAUGCACAUGGCCUCUGCAGACCUACGGCUUACUCAACGAUUAAUGCGCAUGGUCUCUGCAAACCUCCAGCUUACUCAACAAUUAAUGUGCAUGGUCUCUGUUACCUACGGAUCUCUAGUCCUCCACGGCAAAUCAGUUCGGCUGCAUCCAGUCAGCCGUGACAACUCCCUGAUUCUGACCUCAUCCCCUACGGCAAGGCAUGAAUUCGCAUGAUCGUGCAUCAAUUCAUGCGACGUGCUCGGUUGUACGGCAACCUCGCCCCAUCACAUCACAGGUAACCCAGCGCCCCUCUAUAAAAGGAGAAUCCUCCUACCUUAGAGGGGGCUGGAUGCUGAAACUCUGGACAUAUUUUCCUCCAUACAUCCUUCCCCCCUCUGACUUAGACAUCGUAGGGCCGGCGCCG